UGGGGGAUAUUGCACAAUGGGCGCAAGCCUGAUGCAGCGACGCCGCGUGGGGGAUGAAGGCCUUCGGGUUGUAAACUUCUUUUGCUCUGAACAAGGCGCACUUUGGGGUGUGUUGAGUGUAGGGGUUGAUUAGCGCCGGCUAACUACGUGCCAGCAGCCGCGGUAAUACGUAGGGCGCGAGCGUUGUCCGGAAUUAUUGGGCGUAAAGGGCUUGUAGGUGGCUGGUUGCGUCUGUCGUGAAAGCUCAUGGCUUAACUGUGGGUUAGCGGUGGGUACAGGCUGGCUUGAGUGCAGUAGGGGAGGCUGGAAUUCCUGGUGUAGCGGUGGAAUGCGCAGAUAUCAGGAGGAAUACCGGGGGCGAAGGCGGGUCUCUGGGCUGUUACUGACACUGAGGAGCGAAAGCAUGGGGAGCGAACAGG
rnacentral:rRNA from 1 species